GCAUGUAUUCCUCUCGUAUGCGCUGAAUAAAAGAAAGAAAUCGAAACAGAGUGAUUCAAGUGGGCCCGCGUGGCGCUGAUCCACAGGCGAAUGCGACGGCGCCUUGCGCGCGCAACCAGUUAGGCAAAGCCAUAUUCGAGCCCGCACGCUCUGCUUCUCCCUUCCAUCUCUCGACAAGUGUCUACCUUGGGUUGCACCGCCGUCUCCUCCCGCCGCCGCCGCCUCCUCCCGCCGCCGCCGCCGCCGCCGCUGACUCCCAUCCCCGUCGGUCCUCCACACCGCCGCCCCUCCCCGAACCCCGACCACGUCGUCUGCCCCUACCGUCUCGACAAGCGCCUAGGGUUUCACGCCGCCGCCGUCGCCACCCACCCCCCGCCACCGCUGCCUCCCAUCCCCCCGACCCCGUCCUCUGCCGGCUACAGUCGCCUCCCAUCCCCCCGACCCCGUCCUCUGCCGGCUACAGUC
rnacentral:lncRNA from 1 species